AGAUAGCGGACAAAAGAACUGAGAUUUCUAGCAGCUUAGUUUCACUAGCUGUUUUUGACUAUGCAAGUAUUGCCAGGCACGCCAGUUCAAAGUUACUUCUUAAACAAGGAUUUUUUAAGUAGACAAAUAUUAACCAUGGCCCACCAGAGAUGAGAAAGCUUCUCCAUCUAGGGACAAUGAGGCCUGGUCAGGAAAGUAGAUGACCUGGUUCUGAUCCUGCCAAUGUCUGCUGUGUAUCGAGGAUGCUUCUAGAAAGGGAACCCUUUUUGAAUGUGGCAUACUACCAUCUUUUUCUUGUAAAUGGUAAAAUGAGAGUUUCUGAAGUUGUUCUCCCACUGAAACAAAUCUGACUGGAAUUUUUCUGAGUUUUCUGAAGGAAGAGAGAAGAAAUUAGGAUACACCAGAAGAGCUUGUUGACCAGUGUAAUCCAUCAGGUAUUCAGCUGGCUUGAAAUCUUUCUGAAGAGUUAGACAGCGUGGGGACUUUCACCUGGAUCUCCUACUUCCUAGAUAAGUGUCUGAAUCAUCAGACUGUGAAAAUCCAUCUCUGCAGCCCAGUGAACAUGUAAUUAAGUAUGCAAACUGUAAAACACGAAUAGAAAAGAAUACCAGGCAUAACAUGAAGCAUUUGUAAGCCGUAUCUCCUACAGUGCAGAUGAGCACCCUAAUGACUAAGCCAUUGUCUGCUGUAGGGGGUUGUUCUUUCUAACUAGAAAUUCUAUCUGGUGCAUGAAAACUCCUUAGAGUGACCUGGCAUUUCCAAAUGAAAGAACAUGCUGACAGAAUAUUCUCAAUCUUGUAGAUUUCUUGAUUAUAUGAAUGCACUGACCCUGAGACCACCCUUCAAAAUGAAAUAGGUUGUAUACAUUUUAAGAUACUAUAAUUUAUUAUUAUAUUAUGUCUAAUCCCAGAAGUCCUUACUCAUGCUGAUUUCUCUUUAACUCAUUUCAGUUUUUCCUUAGAAAUUAUAAAACGUAAUGAGACUACAAACUUCAAAGUAAGGCCUAUUACAUAGUCUGAUUAUGCUUUUAUGGGAAGCACUUCACUCUGACUAAGGACUCAUUCCAUUAAGCACAAAAUCACCUUUUCUUUGAAUAUACAAAGGGGAAGAAUAACAAAACAGUGGAACACUUUCAGUUCCUCAGCAAAUCUGUUGGCUUGUGUGCUGAAAGAAGGAGCAAGGAAAAAGUAUCAUUUACUCCAGAGCACACCAUCGUGUGCCUUAUCAGUGAUCAGGAAAUUUGUUUCUUUGUAGUAUAUUCUGCCUAAAUAUUCUUUAGUGUGUUUUGCAAUACUUUGUUGAUUACUUCAAAUAACAUAUCAGAAUAAAAGCAUUUUGAAGGGAUUUUCCCUGGCUGCUUCUAUGUUGCAUUCAGGAGUCUUGGUUUCCUGAAUAGAAGUAAUCUCCUGCCUUCUGUCUCCUCUUUCUUCUUUCUCUUUGUUUCCCUCUUUCUUGUCCUCUCUUCUAAACUUUUCUAACUAUUCCUAUCAAGUAGUUUGAAAUAUAAAAGUUGUAAAAAGUUAGAAAAGUUUAACAAUUGUAUGUGAAACCUUUAAUGUUAGGCUGUAGUGAUGCGUGUUGUGUAAGACAUCUUCAAGGAGAGGAAGCAUUUAGUAAAAGCAUUGAUGACAACUUUGGUAAAGAAAAUACACUUGCAACAAAGUAUCCAAUAAAGGUCACUUACCUCUUAAUCAAUUCUAAUUGCAUAAUUGAGAUCAAGGUUAUAUUGUCAAUGAUGUCUUCCCAACUAUGUGUAUACGUGAACCUUGAAAGAUUGAUUAAGAUUAAAGAUGAAUUGAACUUCAUUCAAGAU
rnacentral:lncRNA from 7 species